GAGGGUACAGCUCAGUGGUAGAGUGCAUGCUUAGCAUGCACGAGGUCCUGGGUUCAAUCCCCAGUACCUCCA
rnacentral:tRNA from 1 species